UGGUAAAUAAAUUCGGGCCAAAAAAAAAAACGCCUUACGCUAUCUUCCUCAACGCUUGUGUUCACUGAUUUGAUAGUUUGCUCAGAUUGAGAUGCUUUUUGCAAAGAGUGGCGAACGGGUGAGUAACACUUGGGAAACCUACCUCUUAGCAGGGGAUAACUUUUGGAACCUGAUGCUAAUCCCGUAUAACAAUACCACCCGCUGGGUUGCUCCUUAAAAGAUGGUUCUGUUAUCACUAGAGGAUGGCCCCGCGGUGCAUUAGUUGGUUGGGGAGGUAUGUCUUCACCAAGACAAUGAUGCUUACCCAAGUUGAGAGACUGAUCGGCCACAGUGGGAAUGAGACCCGGCCCAUUCUUCUAGGGGGGGGAGCUGUGGGGAAUCUUUCCAAAUGGGAAAAAGCCUGGAGGGACCACCCCCCCCGUGUUGUGAAGAAGGGUUUUCGGCUCCUAAAACCCUUGUUUGUAAGAAAAAAAAUGCCUUUGAAAUUACUUGUUCCAUUUUUUGACGGGUUUUUUCCCAAAAGGGAAGGGUUUAAAUUCUUCCCCGCCCCCCCCGGGAAAUUCCUUUUUUUUCCCGGCUUUUUCCCGGGAUUUUUGGGGGCGAAAAGGGGGGCCCCAGGGUUUUUUUUAUUUUUGGGGGAAACCCCCCCCCCUCAACUUGGGAAAUUUUUUUUUGAAAACCGGGAUACCUUUUGGGUCCCAGAGAAAAAAAGGGGGACACCCCCUGUGUUCGCGGUGAAAAAAGCUCUAAAAUUAUUUUAGAAAAAACCCCUCUGUGGGGGAGGGGGGCUUUUUUUUCGGGCGUAUAUAUCUAACAUAUUUAGGACGCCCGAGAAGAGUGUGCGGGUGACAACACCACAGAUAAUAUACACUCCCCGUGUGGUCUCACCCCCCUCAGAAGAGAGAGAUAUGCGUUCGUCGUUGUAUUAUGAGAGGUGUUUGUCCUCGCCCCACUAUAGACAGCACGACGAUCUUCUACGAUAGUAGUAAUGUAUCUCA
rnacentral:rRNA from 1 species